rnacentral:lncRNA from 1 species
CCUACACGUCAAGACUUGAACAUUGAUUUUUAAGACGGAGUGAGUCAAGUCAAGUCCUUAAAUGUCUUAAAUCUAUUUCCACAGCUAGAAAUACCCAGGAACAAAGAGGCCAUGUUACUAUGCCCUAUAAAGGUGUUUGAGGCUGCGGUGACAGAGACCACCAGCAAGCAAGGGGAAAAGGGUUUCAAGAAGGAAAGAAUUAAGGAAGAUGUGCACAUUACGCCCCAAGAGAAUCAAGUCUCCCACUAAGAAAGUCACAGGUGAAGGGCAUCAAGCAUCAUUCAUUCAACAAUCAGAAAAACACAAUUAAGCACAAACUGUAUGCCAAACCCUGGGCUUCCUGAAGAAUAAAGCCUUACUACUUGAAGUAUGGGUCUCAGACAAGCAGCAGGAGCAUCACCCAAACAUUGUUAAAAAAUCGCAGAAUCUCAGACCCACUGAAUCAGAAUCUGCAUUUUGACAAGAUCCCCAGGUGACUCACAAGCACAUUAAAGUUUCAGAAGCAUUCUAACAAAAGGAUACAGUCCCCGACAAGGCAUUCUCCAUCCAGGGAAAGACUAAUAACUGUGGCAGGGAAAAUCAGGAAAGACUUUACAGAUAAAGUAUUGUUUUAACCUGGUUCUUAAGGGAUAAGUAGGAGUUUACCAGGUGGAAAAAUAGGUGCAAGCCACUUCAAUAGAGGGACCAGAGGGUGCAACCACAGAGCCAGGAAAGAUCAUAACGGCAAAGGCUGUCGGUGGGCUGAUUGUGAGGUCAGAACUAAAAAACAUUUUCAAAUUUAAGUACACAAGGAAGCUGGCUCAGGAAUCAAGUGCCCCAGAAUCAGAGGACUUCACAACAUGAUCUCUUGCGCACUAGACCGUAAGCAUGGAGCAGGAGCCACAUCCUGCUCAUAAAUAUGACACGGGAUGCCCCCAACUGUAAGUGGCGCCAUUUCCAUGGGGCUCGUGGUAAAGAUGCCCACCUCCUUUCGUCCUGUACUCAUAGACCCUGAGUCCCUUGUAGAAGAGAAAGAGAUUGCUCGCUUUCCUAAUGCCCUGUCGACCUUGAGUACAGAGAGAAAGUGUAUCUCAGCUGGAGCAGGGGCUGGCCCAAAGUGUGGCGACACUGAAUCACCAGUCCAGUGAAGAAUACCGAAUCAACCUCAUUUCCCAAUGAGAAACCAUCUCACAGAAAAGUGAAGCCCAUUAGCUGAGGUCCAUGGUUAAAGAGUGAAUGAGUUACUACUGUCAACAGUCUGGUCUUUGCUGAUGUCUGCACUUCCCUUCUCACAUACUGUGCAACCCAGAAGGAAUACACUCUGAAGACUGUCUGGCCAAACCUUGCCACGGAGGAGCUUACGUUUUUGUCACGUGGCUGAGUAGAGGGUCAACUGUCUCAGCCUGACACUUUUGCAUUAAAUCUACUACAUGAAAGGAUAGGACCUGGGUUGAAACAUAAAGGCAACCCUGUUCAUCUCCACCAGGCUUGUUUAAGCAUCAGAGUGACAGGGUGUCAGGGCUGUGCCAUUUGUGCCCACACCUCCUCCAAUGGUGGUAAAAGUGGUUUGAAGGCCUCCAUGGCAUCCUAGAAAUGCAUGCCCACUGUAUCGGGAAAGGAGUAUGUAAAAAUGAGAAAAGAGAAAAGAUAUGAAUGCUACCAUUUACAACUAGCUUCUGGAUAAAUGUAUUGGAUGACCCAGGGCUGAGCUGACUGACAACAGCCUGGCUUCCCUCAAUGCCCAACAAACUCCAGGCAGAGCCCCUUUAUCCUUUACUAGCUAAGUUUUAUCUAGGCCCCUACAAUAAAGGGGCUGUUGGCAGGUUUUAACUGGGUAGU